CGACUCUCGGCAACGGAUAUCUCGGCUCUCGCAUCGAUGAAGAACGCAGCAAAAUGCGAUACUUGGUGUGAAUUGCAGAAUCCCGUGAACCAUCGAGUUUUUGAACGCAAGUUGCGCCCGAAGCCAUUAUGCCGAGGGCACGUCUGCCUGGGCGUCACG
rnacentral:rRNA from 10 species